rnacentral:rRNA from 1 species
UACGAAGGGGGCUAGCGUUGCUCGGAAUCACUGGGCGUAAAGCGCACGUAGGCGGACUCUUAAGUCAGGGGUGAAAUCCUGGAGCUCAACUCCAGGACUGCCUUUGAUACUGGGAGUCUUGAGUUCGGGAGAGGUGAGUGGAACUGCGAGUGUAGAGGUGAAAUUCGUAGAUAUUCGCAAGAACACCAGUGGCGAAGGCGGCUCACUGGCCCGAUACUGACGCUGAGGUGCGAAAGCGUGGGGAGCAAACAGG